rnacentral:miRNA from 1 species
UCUGAAUUGAAGCAGCUUACA